AGUGAACGCUGGCGGUAGGCCUAACACAUGCAAGUCGAACGGCAGCACAGUAAGAGCUUGCUCUUACGGGUGGCGAGUGGCGGACGGGUGAGGAAUACAUCGGAAUCUACUUUUUCGUGGGGGAUAACGUAGGGAAACUUACGCUAAUACCGCAUACGACCUACGGGUGAAAGCAGGGGAUCUUCGGACCUUGCGCGAUUGAAUGAGCCGAUGUCGGAUUAGCUAGUUGGCGGGGUAAAGGCCCACCAAGGCGACGAUCCGUAGCUGGUCUGAGAGGAUGAUCAGCCGCACUGGAACUGAGACACGGUCCAGACUCCUACGGGAGGCAGCAGUGGGGAAUAUUGGACAGUGGGCGCAAGCCUGAUACAGCCAUACCGCGUGGGUGAAGAAGGCCUUCGGGUUGUAAAGCCCUUUUGUUGGGAAAGAAAAGCAGCAGGUUAAUACCCCGCUGUUCUGACGGUACCCGAAGAAUAAGCACCGGCUAACUUCGUG
rnacentral:rRNA from 1 species